GACGAACGCUGGCGGCGUGCCUAACACAUGCAAGUCGAGCGGAGAUAUUAGCAAUAAUAUUUUAGCGGCGGACGGGUGAGUAACGCGUGGGCAACCUACCUCUCACAGGGGGAUAACACAGGGAAACUUGUGCUAAUACCGCAUAACGUCAUGAGAAGACAUCUUCAGAUGAGCAAAGGAGCAAUCCGGUGAAAGGUGGGCCCGCGGCCGAUUAGCUAGUUGGUGGUGUAACGGACCACCAAGGCGACGAUCGGUAGCCGAACUGAGAGGUUGAUCGGCCACAUUGGGACUGAGACACGGCCAGACUCCUACGGGAGGCAGCAGUGGGGAAUAUUGCGCAAUGGGGGAAACCCUGACGCAGCAACGCCGCGUGAAGGAUGAAGGUUUUCGGAUCGUAAACUUCUUUGAUUGGGGACGAAUAAUGACGGUACCCAAAAAACAAGCCACGGCUAACUACGUGCCAGCCGCCGCAGUAAUAC
rnacentral:rRNA from 1 species